UACGGAGGAUGCAAGCGUUAUCCGGAUUUAUUAGGUUUAAAGGGUGUGUAGGCUGAUGUAUAAGUCAGUGGUGAAAGUCUGUAGCUCAACUAUAGAAUUGCCAUUGAUACUGUAUGUCUUGAGUGUGGUUGAGGUAUGCGGAAUGUGUAGUGUAGCGGUGAAAUGCAUAGAUAUUACACAGAACACCGAUUGCGAAGGCAGCAUGCUAAGCCACAACUGACGCUGAUGCACGAAAGCGUGGGGAUCAAACAGG
rnacentral:rRNA from 1 species